CGCUCAUUCUGUUCAUAACCUUUAUGGACAGAAUUUCUAGGCGCAGCCGAAGUGUUGAGGGGGUCCGUUUUGGUGGCCUCAGUAUUGCAUCUCUGCUUUUUGCAGAUGAUGUGGUACUGUUGGCUCCUUCAAGCACGGCUCUCCAACUCUCAUUGGAGCGUUUCGCAGCCGAGUGUGAAGCGGUUGGGAUGAGAAUCAGCACCUCCAAAUCUGAAACAAUGGUCCUCAGUCGGAAAAGGGUGGAGUGCCUCCCCCCCUCUAAGUCAGGGAGGAGAUCUUGCCCCAAGUGGAGGAGUUUAACUCAUUUACACCCUUUGACGUAUAAAUACGUCAAUUAGCGCUUAGCCGCUCCCUCCCCAUGAUGUAUUAAUACGUCAAUCACGUUUUUUUCAUGGGGGAGGGUGCAAGAGAGUCUGAUGCAACUUCUCACCAAAGGAUUAGGCUUGACGCCAAUGUUAAAUAGCAAAUAAAUGGCCAUCGGGUGGCAGUAGUGCAAAAAUCCACCAGGAUUACGCCGCAGAAGUAGUAGAAAGGGCGUAUAGUGGAGGAGGGAUUGGAACAUUAGCAACUAGCAAAGAUGGAGAAAAGGAAACAACUAACUAAAAAGGAUUGUUUUUUUUUCGGUCUGAAAGCGUCCUCGAAACAAAACAACAAAGGAGAUGGUGUUUGUGUGGAAGAGAAGAUGACGCUUCGGUCACGUAAUCGAAAGCAGCACCCGUCAAACGAACAUCAGCCUGCGCAAACAUGGCGUGCUGCACGCAGCCUGCAUAGCUCACGCCGAGUUUCGAGUUCAUCUGAUGAAGAUGAACAUGCUCCACAUCAGGGACCAUUGCUUGACAGAGCAUUUUGUAACUCCCAAGGGGCACAUCGCCCAAAAAUUGUCUCCCCGGCGACUUCCAGCGAUGACGGCAAAGAGGCUGCAUUGCUUCGCAUGGCCGAAGCCGAGCACACGUCAGCGAUUUGCUGGAAUCAUCUCGUAAUGACUACGGCGAAAACGAUGAACUGGAGAGCGAUUUGGAUCCCGAUCUGUCGGACGAAUACGUGCCUUUGGACAUAACGGAAAGCACCUAAGAGUUCUCGCCAGAGCCGCUGGAAUGAGGAGAUUGUCCAACCAGAAGCCAAAAGAUGACGACUCCUUGCUUUGGUGGUGGAAAGAAAGGUCGUGCAUCUGGACGUGGUGGGAUGAAUCGAUGUGGUGACAAACUGGAUGGAAGCCCAAAACCAUCCUCUCCACAGCUGCACUUUCUUUC